UACAGAGGGGGCAAGCGUUAUUCGGAAUUAUUGGGCGUAAAGGGCGCGUAGGCGGCUUUGCAAGUGACGGGUGAAAUCCCUCGGCUUAACCGAGGAACUGCCUGUCAGACUGCAUGGCUUGAGACCGGGAGAGGUGAGUGGAAUUCCCAGUGUAGCGGUGAAAUGCGUAGAUAUUGGGAGGAACACCAGUGGCGAAGGCGAGUCUCUGGACGAUUCCUGACGCUGAGGCACGAAAGCCAGGGGAGCAAACGGG
rnacentral:rRNA from 1 species